UACGAAGGGGGCGAGCGUUGUUCGGAUUUACUGGGCGUAAAGGGCGCGCAGGCGGCUUUGUUUGUCAGGCGUGAAAGCCCCGGGCUUAACCUGGGAACUGCGUUUGAUACGGCAGGGCUAGAGUUCGGGAGAGGAGAGUGGAAUUCCCAGUGUAGAGGUGAAAUUCGUAGAUAUUGGGAAGAACACCGGUGGCGAAGGCGGCUCUCUGGACCGAGACUGACGCUGAGGCGCGAAAGCGUGGGGAGCAAACAGG
rnacentral:rRNA from 1 species